UGGGGAAUAUUGCACAAUGGGCGAAAGCCUGAUGCAGCAACGCCGCGUGAGUGAUGAAGGUCUUCGGAUUGUAAAGCUCUGUCUUUUGGGACGAUAAUGACGGUACCAAAGGAGGAAGCCACGGCUAACUACGUGCCAGCAGCCGCGGUAAUACGUAGGUGGCGAGCGUUGUCCGGAUUUACUGGGCGUAAAGGGUGCGUAGGCGGAUGUUUAAGUGAGAUGUGAAAUACCCGGGCUUAACUUGGGUGCUGCAUUUCAAACUGGAUAUCUAGAGUGCAGGAGAGGAGAAUGGAAUUCCUAGUGUAGCGGUGAAAUGCGUAGAGAUUAGGAAGAACACCAGUGGCGAAGGCGAUUCUCUGGACUGUAACUGACGCUGAGGCACGAAAGCGUGGGUAGCAAACAGGAUUAGAUACCCUGGUAGUCCACGCCGUAAACGAUGAGUACUAGGUGUAGGAGGUAUCGACCCCUUCUGUGCCGCAGUAAACACAUUAAGUACUCCGCCUGGGAAGUACGAUCGCAAGAUUAAAACUCUAAAGUGAAUUGACGGGGU
rnacentral:rRNA from 1 species